rnacentral:rRNA from 1 species
UACGUAGGGGGCAAGCGUUGUCCUGAUUUAUUGGGCGUAAAGAGCGUGUAGGCGGCCUGACAGGUCUGCUGUGAAAACUCGAGGCUCAACCUCGAGAUGUCGGCGGAAACCGUCUGGCUAGAGUCCGGAAGAGGAGAGUGGAAUUCCUGGUGUAGCGGUGAAAUGCGUAGAUAUCAGGAGGAACACCGGUGGUGUAGACGGCUUUCUGGACCGUAACUGACGCUG